AUAUUUUUAUGACUAAGGUCGAUCGGAUCCCGAAAGGAUGCCGCGGUGCAAUUAAGCAUUGUUCUGAAUCAACAGACCCCAAAGCCUUGGAUCAGCUACGCAAAGAAAUUAGAAACGCUCCGUACCACGUGUAUGGUUAUCAUCGUGACUGCCGAAACUAUUUUUGUCCACGUGCAGGAGAGGAUGGUGCAAUGCCAAGCGUAAUUAUUGAUUUACAAAACGAAGGAGUUUGGCAACAAGUUAUGCUCAUAAUGGAAAAACUAGCUGCUAAAGCAGAACAGCUAUGCGAGCAUCGCACAAGCAAUUUGGCGGAAAACGUUUUCUGUCGCCUUUGCAAGUACAAUUUGGGCAAGCGGAUGAAUCUAAUGUCUCGUGGCUCGUGGAACCGCCGUGUUAUCAUAACGGUCCUUCAGUGUAAUGAAAACUACAAGUGGCAUGAGUCCUAUAUGAAGGCUUAUACCGGACAAUCCCCGGGAUACUGGACGAAAAAAAUGUUCGACGAAAAACACAAAAAACUGCAAUCUACACGCAUGGCACAAAACUCUCCAGAUUUUUGUCGAAAAUCUGCUAAACAAACAGAAAAGGAAGAAGAUUAUGGUGCCGACGCCGUUGAAGCUGCCGAAACCUCAGCAGCGGAAUAUAUUCUGGACAUUGAAAGUUUUGAGAAAUUUUAUCAGGUAUUUUAAAUUAAUUUAUCUCAAGAAAAACUUCUUCACUUAGGGCCAUUUCUUUUUCGUAAACACAAUUUGAGAAAAAAACAGUUUUGUGUAUUGUUAAUUCAAGAAAGUGUCAUAACAAUUUCAAUGAACAUUUUCUAGUUUUUUAUUUUAAAUUUGCAAAACAUAUAGCAAAUACUUUUUUUAAUUACAGAUCACUCCUCAAAUCAGCAAACAAUUAGAAAACUGCCUCUCGAUAAAGGAAAUGGAUGUUCUGUCCGAAGGUCGGAUUUUUUGUAAUUUUGUUGGUGAUGUCAUAAACUGCCAAAGCAACACAAAAACUAAAAAAGCUCAAAACAUGUUGUUGGCUACCACAAAUCACAACUACCUCAAAUUUAAUCGCUCUAUUACUGGCCUAGUUGUUAGCCAAGUCCAAAGCGACUUUAAACUGAAGUUGGAAGAAAAUUUCUUAUUUAUUGACCCGUGUCAUCCUUAUAUUUGCUGCGCGCCAGAUGCUGUAUCAGUUGACAGAAAAACAAUUCUAAUAAUAAAAAGAAAAGACUCAAAAUCGGACCUGAAGAAGGACAUACAUAGUUCGGCUGGCACACUUGGCGUUAAAGUAAAAAAUAAUGAAUUUGUGUUAGAUCGGAAUACUACUGUCCAGGUGCAAUCAGCUUUGCACGUUACGCAAGCAAAUUCGUGUCUCGUUUUUGUUAUGUACGGAACCGACGUGAAUAAUUACUUUCACAAGAUGGUUCAGCAUGAACCAGAUUUUUUUAAGGAUAAGGUGGCUGAAAAAAUUGACUCAUUUGUAAAAAAACACAUUUGCAAGGAAAUGCAACUAUAAAUGAACCAA